rnacentral:rRNA from 1 species
GACGAACGCUGGCGGCGUGCCUAAUACAUGCAAGUUGAACGCAACAAAGACACCAGAGCUUGCUCUACCGUCUUUGUUGAGUAGCGAACGGGUGAGUAACGCGUGGGUAACCUGCCUUAUAGCGGGGGAUAACUAUUGGAAACGAUAGCUAAUACCGCAUAACAAUAGAGAUUGCAUAAAUCUUUAUUUGAAAGUGCCAACUGGUACGCUAUGAGAUGGACCCGCGUUGUAUUAGCUAGUUGGUAGUGUAAUGGACUACCAAGGCGAUGAUACAUAGCCGACUGAGAGGGUGAUCGGCCACAUUGGGACUGAGACACGGGCCCAAAACUCCUACGGGAGGCAGCAGUAGGGAAUCUUCGGCAAUGGGACGAAAGUCUGACCGAGCAACGACCGCGUGAGUGAAGAAGGUUUUCGGAUCGUAAAACUCUGUUGUUAGAGAAGAAUGUUGAUUAGAGUGGAAAAUUAAUACAAGU